GAGUUUGAUCCUGGCUCAGGACGAACGCUGGCGGCGUGCCUAAUACAUGCAAGUAGAACGCUGAAGAGAGGAGCUUGCUCUUCUUGGAUGAGUUGCGAACGGGUGAGUAACGCGUAGGUAACCUGCCUUGUAGCGGGGGAUAACUAUUGGAAACGAUAGCUAAUACCGCAUAACAAUGGAUGACACAUGUCAUUUAUUUGAAAGGGGCAAUUGCUCCACUACAAGAUGGACCUGCGUUGUAUUAGCUAGUAGGUGAGGUAACGGCUCACCUAGGCGACGAUACAUAGCCGACCUGAGAGGGUGAUCGGCCACACUGGGACUGAGACACGGCCCAGACUCCUACGGGAGGCAGCAGUAGGGAAUCUUCGGCAAUGGGGGCAACCCUGACCGAGCAACGCCGCGUGAGUGAAGAAGGUUUUCGGAUCGUAAAGCUCUGUUGUAAGUCAAGAACGAGUGUGAGAGUGGAAAGUUCACACUGUGACGGUAGCUUACCAGAAAGGGACGGCUAACUACGUGCCAGCAGCCGCGGUAAUACGUAGGUCCCGAGCGUUGUCCGGAUUUAUUGGGCGUAAAGCGAGCGCAGGCGGUUUGAUAAGUCUGAAGUUAAAGGCUGUGGCUCAACCAUAGUUCGCUUUGGAAACUGUCAAACUUGAGUGCAGAAGGGGAGAGUGGAAUUCCAUGUGUAGCGGUGAAAUGCGUAGAUAUAUGGAGGAACACCGGUGGCGAAAGCGGCUCUCUGGUCUGUAACUGACGCUGAGGCUCGAAAGCGUGGGGAGCGAACAGGAUUAGAUACCCUGGUAGUCCACGCCGUAAACGAUGAGUGCUAGGUGUUGGAUCCUUUCCGGGAUUCAGUGCCGCAGCUAACGCAUUAAGCACUCCGCCUGGGGAGUACGACCGCAAGGUUGAAACUCAAAGGAAUUGACGGGGGCCCGCACAAGCGGUGGAGCAUGUGGUUUAAUUCGAAGCAACGCGAGGAACCUUACCAGGUCUUGACAUCCCGAUGCUAUUUCUAGAGAUAGAAAGUUACUUCGGUACAUCGGUGACAGGUGGUGCAUGGUUGUCGUCAGCUCGUGUCGUGAGAUGUUGGGUUAAGUCCCGCAACGAGCGCAACCCCUAUUGUUAGUUGCCAUCAUUCAGUUGGGCACUCUAGCGAGACUGCCGGUAAUAAACCGGAGGAAGGUGGGGAUGACGUCAAAUCAUCAUGCCCCUUAUGACCUGGGCUACACACGUGCUACAAUGGUUGGUACAACGAGUUGCGAGUCGGUGACGGCAAGCUAAUCCCUUAAAGCCAAUCUCAGUUCGGAUUGUAGGCUGCAACUCGCCUACAUGGAGUCGGAAUCGCUAGUAAUCGCGGAUCAGCACGCCGCGGUGAAUACGUUCCCGGGCCUUGUACACACCGCCCGUC
rnacentral:rRNA from 1 species